rnacentral:rRNA from 1 species
AGGUCCAGCCUGCCCAGUGAUAAAUUUAACGGCCGCGGUACCCUAACCGUGCAAAGGUAGCAUAAUCACUUGUUCUUUAAAUAAGGACUUGUAUCAACGGCAUCACGAGGGUUUUACUGUCUCCUCUCUCCAAUCGGUGAAACUGAUCUCCCCAUGAAAAAGUGGGGAUAAACUUAUAAGACGAGAAGACCCCAUGGAGCUUUAAAACCUAUAGCAACCUAGCAAAACAUUUCCAUCUAGCUAUAAAACGAUGCUCAAGGACUUUAGGUUGGGAGGACCACGGAGCACAAGAUAACCUCCGUAAUGAAAAGAAUAAAAUCUUUACCAAAGAGCCACAACUCUAAGAAUUAGAAAACUAACGUACAUGACCCGAUAUCGAUCAAUGAACUAAGUUACCCUGGGGAUAACAGCGCAAUCCACUCUGAGAGUUCAUAUCGACGAGCGGGCUUACGACCUCGAUGUUGGAUCAGGGUAUCCUGGUGGUGCAGCCGCUACCGAAGGUUCGUUUGUUCAACGAUUAAAACCCU